GACGAACGCUGGCGGCGUGCUUAACACAUGCAAGUCGAACGGAAAGGCCCUGCUUUUGUGGGGUGCUCGAGUGGCGAACGGGUGAGUAACACGUGAGUAACCUGCCCUUGACUUUGGGAUAACUUCAGGAAACUGGGGCUAAUACCGGAUAGGAGCUCCUGCUGCAUGGUGGGGGUUGGAAAGUUUCGGCGGUUGGGGAUGGACUCGCGGCUUAUCAGCUUGUUGGUGGGGUAAUGGCUUACCAAGGCUUUGACGGGUAGCCGGCCUGAGAGGGUGACCGGCCACAUUGGGACUGAGAUACGGCCCAGACUCCUACGGGAGGCAGCAGUGGGGAAUAUUGCACAAUGGGCGGAAGCCUGAUGCAGCAACGCCGCGUGCGGGAUGACGGCCUUCGGGUUGUAAACCGCUUUCGCCUGUGACGAAGCGUGAGUGACGGUAAUGGGUAAAGAAGCACCGGCUAACUACGUG
rnacentral:rRNA from 1 species